GAGGAUAGUGGUAGCUGGUUGGAAUGAUUGACUGUUGAUAUUGGCUCAUUGCUAUUUGUGCUCAUCUCUGUGGCUGAAAGUUCAUAUUCUCAUUGAGAUCAAGGUGCGUUAUAAACUUGUGAUAAAAUAUUUUGACGUUUGUUCAGUUUUUAUUAUAUAUCUAUUAUGCUUCUUGCAGUGCCUUGGAAACUUUUGGAGAAACAAACAUCUAAGGAAGAACACGCAAUACCGCUACCAUUCUGGCCCAAUACAGUUCACUCAUUUAUGCUCUGUUGAUAUAAUUCUUCAAAGUUGAGUUUGUGCAAUUUUUGCAUGUUCGGUGUUAGUAACUUCUUUUAAAUCAAAGUAGCUUUUGGAAUCAGAGAAUAUAGAAUAAUCGAUCUUCCUUCAAGUGAGUUUAAGUCAGAAGUCAUUCUAAGUCCCAUUUUUUAAUGAAAGAACAGUCCAGUUUAAGUCGAUGGAAGCUGAAUAAAUAUUGCUGAAACUGGCUCACCGGUAUGCCUGGCGCAUCCCGAAAUUACAGGCUGCAGCAUUUAGAUUAGCAGUUUAAGACAUCCUAAAUAGGAAAAUAUCCUCAACGUGUCUAUUGUUGAAGCAAAUAUGGUACUGAUGUUAUCAAUCUACA
rnacentral:lncRNA from 1 species